CAGUCGCCACGGGAAUACGAAGGGGGCUAGCGUUGUUCGGAAUCACUGGGCGUAAAGGGUGCGUAGGCGGGCAUUUAAGUCAGGGGUGAAAUCCCGAGGCUCAACCUCGGAACUGCCCUUGAUACUGGAUGUCUUGAGUCCGGAAGAGGUGAGUGGAACUGCGAGUGUAGAGGUGAAGUUCGUAGAUAUUAGCAAGAACACCGGUGGCGAAGGCGGCUCACUGGUCCGGAACUGACGCUGAGGCACGACAGCGUGGGGAGCAAACAGGAUUAGAUACCCCCGUAGUCCCUGUCUCUUAUAC
rnacentral:rRNA from 1 species